rnacentral:rRNA from 1 species
GACGAACGCUGGCGGCGUGCUUAACACAUGCAAGUCGAACGGAAAGGCCCUGCUUUUGUGUGGUGCUCGAGUGGCGAACGGGUGAGUAACACGUGAGUAACCUGCCCUUGACUUUGGGAUAACUUCAGGAAACUGGGGCUAAUACCGGAUAGGAGCUCCUGCUGCAUGGUGGGGGUUGGAAAGUUUCGGCGGUUGGGGAUGGACUCGCGGCUUAUCAGCUUGUUGGUGGGGUAGUGGCUUACCAAGGCUUUGACGGGUAGCCGGCCUGAGAGGGUGACCGGCCACAUUGGGACUGAGAUACGGCCCAGACUCCUACGGGAGGCAGCAGUGGGGAAUAUUGCACAAUGGGCGGAAGCCUGAUGCAGCAACGCCGCGUGCGGGAUGACGGCCUUCGGGUUGUAAACUGCUUUCGCCUGUGACGAAGCGUGAGUGACGGUAAUGGGUAAAGAAGCACCGGCUAACUACGUG